GAGAACGCCGACCAGAGAAAGCGCUUGCCUAAAGAGCGCCGACCAGGAAACCAACCAAAGAGCGGAAGUAAAGACGCUCGCCCAAAGGGCGCCGAGCAGAAGUACUAUGAAGCAACCCCGCCACAGGGCGCCCCAUUGGGCGACCAGCUCGGCUCGGCACCCCUGCCGAGCCGAUUGCCUUGGACCAAAUGUUCAACUUCCGCCUAACCCUCUAAGCCUGAG
rnacentral:lncRNA from 1 species